rnacentral:rRNA from 1 species
CCUACGGGCGGCAGCAGUGGGGAAUAUUGGACAAUGGGGGCAACCCUGAUCCAGCCAUGCCGCGUGUGUGAAGAAGGCCCUCGGGUUGUAAAGCACUUUCAGUGAGGAAGAACGCCUGGUGGUUAAUACCCAUCAGGAAAGACAUCACUCACAGAAGAAGCACCGGCUAACUCCGUGCCAGCAGCCGCGGUAAUACGGAGGGUGCGAGCGUUAAUCGGAAUUACUGGGCGUAAAGCGCGCGUAGGUGGCUUGAUAAGCCGGUUGUGAAAGCCCCGGGCUCAACCUGGGAACGGCAUCCGGAACUGUCAAGCUAGAGUGCAGGAGAGGAAGGUAGAAUUGCCGGUGUAGCGGUGAAAUGCGUAGAGAUCGGGAGGAAUACCAGUGGCGAAGGCGGCCUUCUGGACUGGCACUGACACUGAGGUGCGAAAGCGUGGGUAGCAAACAGGAUUAGAUACCCCUGUAGUC